AGUGAACGCUGGCGGUAGGCCUAACACAUGCAAGUCGAACGGCAGCACAGAGGAGCUUGCUCCUUGGGUGGCGAGCGGCGGACGGGUGAGUAAUGCCUAGGAAUCUGCCUGGUAGUGGGGGAUAACGUUCGGAAACGGACGCUAAUACCGCAUACGUCCUACGGGAGAAAGCAGGGGAACUUCGGGCCUUGCGCUAUCAGAUGAGCCUAGGUCGGAUUAGCUAGUUGGUGGGGUAAUGGCUCACCAAGGCGACGAUCCGUAACUGGUCUGAGAGGAUGAUCAGUCACCCUGGAACUGAGACACGGUCCAGACUCCUACGGGAGGCAGCAGUGGGGAAUAUUGGACAAUGGGCGAAAGCCUGAUCCAGCCAUGCCGCGUGUGUGAAGAAGGUCUUCGGAUUGUAAAGCACUUUAAGUUGGGAGGAAGGGCAGUAAAUUAAUACUUUGCUGUUUUGACGUUACCGACAGAAUAAGCACCGGCUAACUCUGUGCCAGCCGCCGCCGUAA
rnacentral:rRNA from 1 species